rnacentral:rRNA from 1 species
GGGUGAGUAACGCGUAUCCAACCUUCCGUACACUCAGGGAUAGCCUUUCGAAAGAAAGAUUAAUACCCGAUGGUAUGAUGAGAUUGCAUGAUAGCAUCAUUAAAGAUUUAUCGGUGUACGAUGGGGAUGCGUUCCAUUAGGUAGUAGGCGGGGUAACGGCCCACCUAGCCGACGAUGGAUAGGGGUUCUGAGAGGAAGGUCCCCCACAUUGGAACUGAGACACGGUCCAAACUCCUACGGGAGGCAGCAGUGAGGAAUAUUGGUCAAUGGACGAGAGUCUGAACCAGCCAAGUAGCGUGAAGGAUGAAGGUCCUACGGAUUGUAAACUUCUUUUAUAAGGGAAUAAAACCUCCCACGUGUGGGAGCUUGUAUGUACCUUAUGAAUAAGCAUCGGCUAACUCCGUGCCAGCAGCCGCGGUAAUACGGAGGAUGCGAGCGUUAUCCGGAUUUAUUGGGUUUAAAGGGAGCGCAGACGGGUCGUUAAGUCAGCUGUGAAAGUUUGGGGCUCAACCUUAAAACUGCAGUUGAUACUGGCGUCCUUGAGUGCGGUUGAGGUGUGCGGAAUUCGUGGUGUAGCGGUGAAAUGCUUAGAUAUCACGAAGAACUCCGAUUGCGAAGGCAGCACACUAAGCCGUAACUGACGUUCAUGCUCGAAAGUGUGGGUAUCAAACAGGAUUAGAUACCCUGGUAGUCC